AAGAGGGGAUAAGGUGAUCGCGGGAUACUUAAGGUAUCCUGAGGAAAGUCCGGGCUCCUUGAAAAGAAUACUGGGUAACUCCCAGGAAGGGCGACCUUACAGAUAGUGUCACAGAAAACAUACCACUUAUUAUCUGUUAAGCUAAUGAGUAAGGGUGCAAAGGUGGGGUAAGAGCCUACCAGCGAGAAAAUGAUUUCUCGGCUGGACAAACCUUAUUUGGAGCAAGGCCAAAUAGGAGGGUCUAACCCUCGGGUAGGCCGCUGGAGGCCCAGGGUAACCUGGGUCCUAGAUAAAUGAUUACCGCCAGUAGAAUUUUCGCUGGUAACAGAACCCGGCUUACGUUCCCCUCUUCUUU
rnacentral:RNase_P_RNA from 1 species